rnacentral:rRNA from 1 species
GUCCACGCCGUAAACUAUGGAUGCUAGCCGUCGGCAAGCUUGCUUGUCGGUGGCGCAGCUAACGCUUUAAGCAUCCCGCCUGGGGAGUACGGCCGCAAGGUUAAAACUCAAAGGAAUUGACGGGGGCCCGCACAAGCGGUGGAGCAUGUGGUUUAAUUCGACGCAACGCGAAGAACCUUACCAGCUCUUGACAUGCCCGGACGGUUUCCAGAGAUGGAUUCCUCCUAGCAAUAGGUCGGGACACAGGUGCUGCAUGGCUGUCGU